AGCACUAGCUGUAGGCCCUUCCUCUCCUUUCUCCCGACUAAAAGUCUGACCCCGGCGCCGCUUGAGGCCUGUUUGCAGAACUGGCAAAAACCAGCACCAUGCCCAUGACACUGGGGUACCGGGACCUCCACGGGCUGGCCCACACCAUCCGCCUACUCCUGGAAUACACAGACUCAAGCUACGAGGAAAAGACCUACACGAUGGGGGACACUCCUGAAUAUGACAGAAGCCAGUGGCUGAAGGAAAAAUUCAAGCUGGGCCUGGACUUUCCCAAUCUGCCCUACUUGAUUUGAUGGGGCUCACAAGAUCACCUAGAGCAACGCCAUCCUGCACUACAUUGCCCACAAGCACAACCUGUGUGGGGAGACAGAAGAGGAGAAGAUUCGUGUGGAUAUUUUGGAGAACCAGACCAUGGAUACCCGGAUGAAGCUGGUCAUGAUCUGCUACGACUCAGAAUUUGAGAAACUGAAGCCAAAGUACUUGGAGGAACUCCCUGAAAAGUUAAAGCUUUACUCACAGUUUCUGGGGAAGCGGCCACGGUUUGCAGGAGAUAAGAUCACCUUUGUGGAUUUCCUCGCCUAUGACAUCCUUGACCACAACCGUAUAUUUGAGCCCCACUGCCUGGAUGCCUUCCCAAACCUGAAGGACUUCAUCUCCUGAUUUGAGGGUCUGAAGAAGAUCUCUGCCUACAUGAAGUCCCGCAGUUUCAUCCCAGGUCUUUUGUUUGGAAAGUCAGCUACAUGGAACAGCACAUAAGGCCCGGGUUGCCAG